rnacentral:rRNA from 1 species
GAUGAACGCUAGCUACAGGCUUAACACAUGCAAGUCGCGGGGCAGCAUGGGGGUUGCUUGCAACUCCCGAUGGCGACCGGCGCACGGGUGAGUAACGCGUAUCCAACCUGCCCUUCACCACGGGAUAACCCGGCGAAAGUCGGACUAAUACCGUAUGUUGUCCAUUGACGGCAUCCGAUUUGGACGAAAGGCGUUCCGGUGAAGGGUGGGGAUGCGUCCGAUUAGCCAGACGGCGGGGUAACGGCCCACCGUGGCUACGAUCGGUAGGGGUUCUGAGAGGAAGGUCCCCCACACUGGAACUGAGACACGGUCCAGACUCCUACGGGAGGCAGCAGUGAGGAAUAUUGGUCAAUGGGCGUAAGCCUGAACCAGCCAAGUAGCGUGCAGGAUGACGGCCCUAUGGGUUGUAAACUGCUUUUAUGCGGGGAUAAAGUGGCCCACGUGUGGGCUUUUGCAGGUACCGCAUGAAUAAGGACCGGCUAAUUCCGUG